GCUUCUCACUCGAUUAAACUGGAA
rnacentral:sRNA from 1 species